rnacentral:misc_RNA from 1 species
GACAGAGGGUGCGAACGUUGUUCGGAAUUACUGGGCGUAAAGCGCGUGUAGGCGGCUAUGUAAGUCGGAUGUGAAAUCCCGCGGCUCAACCGUGGAAGUGCACUCGAAACUGCGUAGCUGGAGUCCCGGAGAGGAAGGUGGAAUGCUUGGUGUAGAGGUGAAAUUCGUAGAUAUCAAGCGGAACACCGGUGGCGAAGGCGGCCUUCUGGACGGUGACUGACGCUGAGACGCGAAAGCGUGGGGAGCAAACAGG